rnacentral:rRNA from 1 species
AGAGUUUGAUCAUGGCUCAGGAUGAACGCUAGCGGGAGGCCUAACACAUGCAAGCCGAGCGGUAGGUUUCCUUCGGGAAACUGAGAGCGGCGCACGGGUGCGGAACACGUGUGCAACCUGCCUUUAUCAGGGGGAUAGCCUUUCGAAAGGAAGAUUAAUACCCCAUAAUAUAUCAUAUGGCAUCAUUUGAUAUUGAAAACUACGGUGGAUAAAGAUGGGCACGCGCAGGAUUAGAUAGUUGGUAGGGUAACGGCCUACCAAGUCAACGAUCCUUAGGGGGCCUGAGAGGGUGAUCCCCCACACUGGUACUGAGACACGGACCAGACUUCUACGGGAGGCAGCAGUGAGGAAUAUUGGACAAUGGGUGAGAGCCUGAUCCAGCCAUCCCGCGUGAAGGACGACGGCCCUAUGGGUUGUAAACUUCUUUUGUAUAGGGAUAAACCUACUCUCGUGAGAGUAGCUGAAGGUACUAUACGAAUAAGCACCGGCUAACUCCGUGCCAGCAGCCGCGGUAAUACGGAGGGUGCAAGCGUUAUCCGGAUUUAUUGGGUUUAAAGGGUCCGUAGGCUGAUUUGUAAGUCAGUGGUGAAAUCUCACAGCUCAACUGUGAAACUGCCAUUGAUACUGCAAGUCUUGAGUGUUGUUGAAGUAGCUGGAAUAAGUAGUGUAGCGGUGAAAUGCAUAGAUAUUACUUAGAACACCAAUUGCGAAGGCAGGUUA